GGGGAAAGGUUCCAUGUGA
rnacentral:sRNA from 1 species